rnacentral:misc_RNA from 1 species
AAAAAAUAUAAAAAAAUUAUUUUUCAGAAAACAAAGAAGCCAAUAUGUGAUAUUACUUGACAUUUAAUUAACUUAAAAAAAAAAAUCAACUGUUGGCAUAUAAAUGCUGGCCCAAGUUGAGCUCAUUAACCAAUUUUUCAAUGAAGUGAUUAAUUGACUUGGGCCAUAACUCAUUAGGCUGUGAGCCAGCCUAAUAAUAAACAACUAAUUACAUAAAUCCAUAAGCUUGGGUUGUGAUUAUACUAGUGUAGAUUGGAAUAAUGUCUAUUGUUAUUCAGGCCUGAUAGCCAUUGCAUCAACCCUUGCUUGCUUAACCAAUUUUUUGAGGGUUUCAGCCUUAACAAGGAUAGAAGUAUCCAUUUAUGGCCCAAUUCCUAAGAAGUUUCAGGUAGACAUAUUUAUUCUCUUUCUUUCAAAGUGUUUGAUUUCUCUCCUGACAAAAACUCAGAGUAACCUUCCCUUAUUGACUAUAGGCCCCUUAAGAAAAGAGAGCUCUAAUACUAUUUUUGUUAGCUAAAUAAAAAAUAGAUAGGUAAAUAGGUUUGUUGGAAAGAUGGAAGGAAUAAGAUAGAAAAGUUAGCAAAAUCAUAAACAUUCUCUUCAAUUUAAUAACCUUUCCAUAAUACAAUAGUUUAUCUAAUUGUUUUUUAAUGUAUCCAUUCAAUAAUGUAAAACAUUACAAUGAAAUAAAAAAAAAUCAAUUAUAUAUAUAUAUAU